rnacentral:tRNA from 2 species
AGGGCUAUAGCUCAGUUAGGUAGAGCACCUCGUUUACAAUUAGUUCGAUCUGUUUUACCGAGAAGGUCUACGGUUCGAGUCCGUAUAGCCCUA